GUAGCUUAGUUGGUAGUGCAUCUGCCUUGAAAGCACUAGGCUGCGGGUUUGAUUCCCACC
rnacentral:tRNA from 1 species